CCUCAGAUAGCUGUUCGAGAUCCUUCCUGGGUCAUGGCUGCCUAAAAUGCAUCCAAACAUUCAGUGUCUCCUCCCUCUGCAUGCAGACACUGAACUUUCCUCAUAGAGAUUCACUGAUUCAAUUAAUCUCUAUGAGGAGAUGCUGAUUGGCUAGGGCUGUGUUUGAAUCAUACUGGCUCUGCCCCUGAUCUGCCGUUUUGUCAGUCUCAGCCAAUCCUAUGGAGAAGCAUUGUGAUUGGAUCAGACCACCACUUCUGAUGAUGUCAGCAGACAGCUUGUUUUUUCUGAGACAAACAGCAUGCAGAGCUACAGCUUCAGGCUUGAAUACAAGUACGAUAUUGCUAUACUUAUGGAGACAUGAAGGGCCCAGGGGGGCUAGAUGGUGGUUUUAACACUAUAGGAUCAGGAAUACAUGUUUGUGUUCCUGACCCUAUAGUGUUUCUUUAACUUCUGUACAGCUUGUUUUUGUUUUGAUUAUCCUACAUGGACAUGUCCCUGUACUUGGGUAUUGCACCUAGAUCAGAUUUGUCCAUUGGCACCCAUCUCUUCCCUAGUUGUGUUCCCUCUUUACCACUUCCCACUUCUAUCUCCCUCUCUAUUUGUGCCUAUCUCUGCUUUUUUGUCUCCCACACAUCUCCUCUCCUAGUUUACCUAUCUCCCCCACUUAUAUCCUUCACGUACUUCUGUUUUCUCCAUAUCCCCAUGUGUUUCUCGCUCCACCUGUUUUAUAUCUCUCCAUUUCCCUUCUAACUUCAAGUGUAUAUUUCCAUCCUAAACACCUUUGCAUAGGUCCACACCCAACCUAC